rnacentral:rRNA from 1 species
CGCUGUUAUCCCUAAGGUAAUUUAGUCUUAUAAUCAUUAAAAAUGGAUCAAAAACUUAUAAAUAAAUAUAAAAAAAAAUAAAAAGAGUUAUAUUAAUCUUCCCAUCACCCCAACAAAAUUUAAAUAAUAUUAAAAUUAUUACCCCACAAAAAAUAAAAAAUUAAAUUAAACUCUAUAGGGUCUUCUCGUCCCAAAAAAUUAUUUAGGCAUUUUAACCUAAAAUUUAAAUUCAACAAAAUAAAAAUUUAAGAAAGUAUAUACCUCGUCAAACCAUUCAUUCCAGCAUUCAAUUAAAAAACUAAUGAGUGUGCUACCUUUGCACAGUCAAAAUACUGCGGCCAUUUAAAAUCAUUGGGCAGGCAAUACUUCAUAUAAAUUACACGAAAAUGUUUUUGUUAAACAGGCG